rnacentral:rRNA from 1 species
GACGAACGCUGGCGGCGUGCCUAAUACAUGCAAGUAGAACGCUGAAGCGAGGAGCUUGCUCUUCUUGGAUGAGUUGCGAACGGGUGAGUAACGCGUAGGUAACCUGCCUUGUAGCGGGGGAUAACUAUUGGAAACGAUAGCUAAUACCGCAUAACAAUGGAUGGCACAUGUCAUUUAUUUGAAAGGGGCAAUUGCUCCACUACAAGAUGGACCUGCGUUGUAUUAGCUAGUAGGUGAGGUAAUGGCUCACCUAGGCGACGAUACAUAGCCGACCUGAGAGGGUGAUCGGCCACACUGGGACUGAGACACGGCCCAGACUCCCACGGGAGGCAGCAGUAGGGAAUCUUCGGCAAUGGGGGCAACCCUGACCGAGCAACGCCGCGUGAGUGAAGAAGGUUUUCGGAUCGUAAAGCUCUGUUGUAAGUCAAGAACGGGUGUGAGAGUGGAAAGUUCACACUGUGACGGUAGCUUACCAGAAAGGGACGGCUAACUACGUG